GAGUGCAGUCCUGAAUUUCCUAAGGCAUCAGAUCCCAUCUGAUCUUGGAAGGCAAGCAGGGUCAGCCCUUGUUAAUGCUUGGAUGUGAGACAACCAAUGAAUUCCAGGUGCUGUAGGCU
rnacentral:rRNA from 11 species